rnacentral:rRNA from 1 species
UGGGGAAUUUUGGACAAUGGGGGAAACCCUGAUCCAGCCAUCCCGCGUGUGCGAUGAAGGCCUUCGGGUUGUAAAGCACUUUUGGCAGGAAAGAAACGUCAUGGGUUAAUACCCCGUGAAACUGACGGUAUCUGCAGAAUAAGCACCGGCUAACUACGUGCCAGCAGCCGCGGUAAUACGUAGGGUGCAAGCGUUAAUCGGAAUUACUGGGCGUAACGCGUGCGCAGGCGGUUCGGAAAGAAAGAUGUGAAAUCCCAGAGCUCAACUUUGGAGCUGCAUAUUUAACUACCGGGCUAGAGUGUGUCAGAGGGAGGUUGAAUUCCGCGUGUAGCAGUGAAAUGCGUAGAUAUGCGGAGGAACACCGAUGGCGAAGGCAGCCUCCUGGGAUAACACUGACGCUCAUGCACGAAAGCGUGGGGAGCAAACAGG